rnacentral:rRNA from 1 species
AUUGAACGCUGGCGGCAUGCUUUACACAUGCAAGUCGAACGGCAGCGUGGGCUUCGGCCUGGCGGCGAGUGGCGAACGGGUGAGUAAUGCAUCGGAACGUGCCCAGUAGUGGGGGAUAGCCCGGCGAAAGCCGGGUUAAUACCGCAUACGACCUGAGGGUGAAAGCGGGGGACCGAAAGGCCUCGCGCUAUUGGAGCGGCCGAUGUCGGAUUAGCUAGUUGGUGGGGUAAAGGCUUACCAAGGCGACGAUCCGUAGCUGGUCUGAGAGGACGACCAGCCACACUGGGACUGAGACACGGCCCAGACUCCUACGGGAGGCAGCAGUGGGGAAUUUUGGACAAUGGGGGCAACCCUGAUCCAGCCAUGCCGCGUGCGGGAAGAAGGCCUUCGGGUUGUAAACCGCUUUUGUUCGGGAAGAAAUCCUCUGGGCUAAUACCCCGGGGGGAUGACGGUACCGGAAGAAUAAGCACCGGCUAACUACGUG